ACGCCACCCCGAUCGUUAUAGCGUUCCUGAGUUUGCAUUACUGGCUUUCAAAAUAGCGUAAAUGUCGCUGCUCAGUUCUCGUUUUAAAUCCGAUUCAUAAGCGAAAUCGAUUCUAUUCCGAUAUUAUUGCAUUAUCAAAUGUUGAUAUCCCAUGUCGAUUGGAAACGGAAAGCGGCUUCGUCGGUUAGGGAACGUAUUAAAAUUUUAAUCGCUAUGUUGGAAAACAACGCGUUUAUGGGUCAAUUGCAUUCAAUUUAAUAUCCUAUAUAGAAAAAUUUCUCGUAUGCGAACAGAUAAAAAGGCAUCCAUAUUUGCUAAUAAAAUUGCGGGACGUCUGUCAACAGCCGACGACACAAUUUCGUAAUUUCGGAUCGACGCAGCAAGAAGAAUAAAUCGAGCCUCUCACCGAUGGAUGAUAUUUAAACACGGAACGCAAUCGCGGUUACUCGACUAUUUGGCAGAAUGCAAACCAUUGACACACCAGCAACGGACAUUAAAAACAUCGAAAUAAUUUAACCAAAUGGAAAAUCUAUUCGAUUGACAAGCUUGCGUUAUG